ACCAAAACAAACACCUGAUUCUAGACCCAGUCAGCAGUCAGCAUGAAGGAAGGUACUCCUGUACGGUCAAAACUGGCAGAAGAACCAUUGGCUCAGCUGAGAAAACUCUGACUGUCCAAAAUAUUAAAGUGAAACAAACAUCAGCAGCAGCUGCAGGAGUCUGUGCUGCUCUCCUGGUUUUAAUGCUUCUCGCUGUCCUCUGGUGGAUGAGAAAAAAGAGAAGAUCCAGCCGAUCUCCUCGAACUGAACCCUCAGACAACUCGGAGCAGCCAAACCCUGAUUCCAUGUAUGAAAACAUCUCAGCUCCAUCAGCAGAGCAGGAUGACCAUCACUACAUGAGACUCCACUUCUCUCAGAACCACACAGAAGAUCUCUACUCCACCAUCCAUCACGCAGCUUCCAACUGAACUAAAGUUUGUUGUCAUUUUAUUUUGCAAUUAGAGCCUGACCAAUAUAUCGGUCGAUAUUAUCCCAUCAUAGAUACAUCUGGGAUAUAUUAAUAUCCACCAAUAUGUUAUCCAAAAUGUCCAUGACGAAUCUUUUUACGCAGCAUAAUGCAGAAUAAAAGGCCCUGGUGUAAUUCAUGAUUAAGUGUUGUUAUUGUGAUGGUGCACUCAUGUAAUUUUUAACAAUAAAGUUGAUAGUUGAACUGUAAAAAAUAUUCUGCCCUGAUCGUCAUUGCAUAUCUCUGUCAAAUGUGUUUGAUAUCCAAACUCUAAAUGAAGAUGA